UUGUCUCAAAGAUUAAGCCAUGCAUGUCUCAGUACAAGCCAUAAAUAAGGUGAAACCGCGAAAGGCUCAUUAAAUCAGUUAUGGUUCCUUAGAUCGUACCACAUUUACUUGGAUAACUGUGGUAAUUCUAGAGCUAAUACAUGCAAACAGAGCUCUAACCGGAGACGGAAGGAGUGCUUUUAUUAGAUCAAAACCAAUUGUGACGUCACUGGGCUCCAUAUAGACUUCUGUAUCUUUGCGUACGUUUCUAUAUGUCCUGGUGUUUGCGUUCACACACAAAUACUGGUGAAUCUGAAUAACUUGCUGAUCGCAUGGUCUAGUACCGGCGACGCAUCUUUCAAAUGUCUGCCUUAUCAACUUUCGAUGGUAGGAUCUGCGCCUACCAUGGUUGUAACGGGUAACGGGGAAUCAGGGUUCGAUUCCGGAGAGGGAGCUUGAGAAACGGCUACCACAUCCAAGGAAGGNAGCAGGCGCGCAAAUUACCCACUCCCAGCACGGGGAGGUAGUGACGAAAAAUAACGAUACGGGACUCAUCCGAGGCCCCGUAAUCGGAAUGAGUACACUUUAAAUCCUUUAACGAGGAGCAACUGGAGGGCAAGUCUGGUGCCAGCAGCCGCGGUAAUUCCAGCUCCAGUAGCGUAUAUUAAAGUUGUUGCGGUUAAAAAGCUCGUAGUUGAAUUUGUGUCUCGCGCUGUCGGUUCAUCGCCUGCGUGCGGUGUUAACUGGCACGCCGCGGGACGUCUUGCCGGAAGGACCGGUAUGUGUUUUUCAACGUGUCAUUCUUAACGUCCAUAUUACAUAAAAUAUUUUCAUUUAUAAAAUAUUUGAUUGUUGUAUGUUUGUGUGUGUAUAUAUGUUAUUUGUGUUUGGUGUUUUGUGUGGCGUGUGUGUGUUGNNAAUGNNAUAUGGUGUGUNAAUGUUUUUUCCGUUUGUAAUUAAUCGGUUUUAGUGNNGCACNCAAUNAAACAUANAUAUAUUAUACAGNCACACACACACACACACAUACAUCUACAUAUUUUCAUAUUUUACCACACAUUACCACACACAUCAUUAUUUAUAAGAAUGGAUUUAUUGUAUUUGGCUCCGUUAUGCUUUGGCCGGCUUAGUGCAUACGUAGUCCGACUUUCAAUCCUGUCUAGGUGCUCUUAAUUGAGUGUCGUGGCGGGCCGGCACGUUUACUUUGAACAAAUUAGAGUGCUUAAAGCAGGCUAUUGUUGCCUGAAUACAGUGUGCAUGGAAUAAUGGAACAGGACCUCGGUUCUAUUUUGUUGGUUUUCGGAAUUUCGAGGUAAUGAUUAAUAGGGACAGAUGGGGGCAUUCGUAUUGCGACGUUAGAGGUGAAAUUCUUGGANCGUCGCAAGACGAACUUAAGCGAAAGCAUUUGCCAAAGAUGUUUUCAUUAAUCAAGAACGAAAGUCAGAGGUUCGAAGGCGAUCAGAUACCGCCCUAGUUCUGACCAUAAACGAUGCCAGCUAGCGAUCGGCCGACGUUCCUCCGAUGACUCGGUCGGCAGCUUCCGGGAAACCAAAGCCUUUGGGUUCCGGGGGAAGUAUGGUUGCAAAGCUGAAACUUAAAGGAAUUGACGGAAGGGCACCACCAGGAGUGGAGCUUGCGGCUUAAUUUGACUCAACACGGGAAACCUCACCAGGCCCGGACACCGGAAGGAUUGACAGAUUGAGAGCUCUUUCUUGAUUCGGUGGGUGGUGGUGCAUGGCCGUUCUUAGUUGGUGGAGCGAUUUGUCUGGUUAAUUCCGAUAACGANCGAGACUCUAGCCUACUAACUAGACGUACAUACUCGAAUUUCGAGAGCCCGGUAUUCCGAGGGUCGCUUCCGCUUCUUCUGGCCGUCGUUCGUGCGCGUCUUGUGCGUUGUUUAUAUAUUGUUGUGAAUCUUUAAAGUAACGGUACGUGUAUUGUCUUGUACAUUACCUCCGUGCCGUCUUUAAGUUUCACACAUAUGUGGACCGUACUUGCUCGUGUCGACGGCGAUACUAGUUGCUUGCGGGCGAUCUUUACUACCGGCGUACAUAUAAAUCUUCUUAGAGGGACAGGCGGCUUCUAGCCGCACGAGAUUGAGCAAUAACAGGUCUGUGAUGCCCUUAGAUGUUCUGGGCCGCACGCGCGCUACACUGAAGGAAUCAGCGUGUCUUCCCUGGCCGAGAGGUCCGGGUAAUCCGCUGAAACUCCUUCGUGCUAGGGAUUGGGGCUUGCAAUUAUUCCCCAUGAACGAGGAAUUCCCAGUAAGCGCGAGUCAUAAGCUCGCGUUGAUUACGUCCCUGCCCUUUGUACACACCGCCCGUCGCUACUACCGAUUGAAUGAUUUAGUGAGGUCUUCGGACUGGUACUCGGCCGACGUUUCGACGUCGCCGACGCUGCUGGAAAGAUGACCGAACUUGAUUAUUU
rnacentral:rRNA from 1 species